CUGGGACUGUAACAUUAUUAUAGUCUCAGAAGGACCAGAACACAACUAAUCUGUUUCAGACUGUAGCUAUGCACAGAUCUUCUUCUGUACUGCUGGGGGCAGUAGACUUCACAGUGCAGGGUCAGCAUGUGGGGCCAGUCCGUGGGUGUCAUCCAGCUUGCUGAACCCAGCCUGCGUACCAUGUGAGCCAGUGAGUAGGUCCACAUCAUUUGGCCUGCAAGGUGCCCCACAGGUCCAGAAAUUAAUGGGAGUAGCAAUUAAUGGUGCCACCACUCCCCCAUUGCCAAAUUUCUGGACCCACUGGCCAGAAGAUGCAGCUCCACGAGCCGGGGUUGAGCACUGGUGCCAUAGAGAGAUCAAGACUGCAGUGGCAAAGCUGCCUUGACUGAGAUAAGACUGUUAAAUAAAUUACUAUAUUUCAUAAAACAUAGCUCCCAAUGUCCCCAUAUUGCAUAACAAUCAUAAUAAACAAGCAGAAUUUGGGUAAAAAUGGGGUAGAUUUUAAGAGUCCUCAUCUUUUCCACUUUUGCCUAAAAACAAAAGUAGGGGGAAUUCUAACUUUGGGUCUCAUUUUAGGUAAACCCUUUAAGUUUAAGGCAGUUCAUUUACAGUUCUAGCCUAUCUCUAGAAAAAAAUGUAUUCAGCAUUACUAAGUACAUACUAAUAGAGCUCUUUAUGUAUGUUUCCCAGGAAAGAUUGGGUUUGCCUUUUCCCAGAUAAGCAGUUUUCAUUCUAAAUUAAAAUACACCAAAGCAAUCAGUGUUUGAGUUCUAUAAAAAGUUACAUAUUAAUCUUCAAUGCCUGAGUAGAGACUCAGAAAAAAACUUGUUGCAAACCACAAGUCUGCACGAAACAUUUACUCAAGCAUUGCAAGAGAAGUAUUAGCUGUCCUCCAUUAAGAGGCAUGCACUCCCACAAGCAUCGAAAGAUGUCUUAAUGCCUUUUCUUCAUUUCUACUACUCAUUUCAUCACAAGCAGAAAAGGCAGUUACAAUAUUAUUGUUACACUUGGGAUGCCAGUUGUACAACUGAUGGUUCAACAGCAAAGUUUAGUGCCCUUCUAAGUACUUCAGAAGGAAAAAAAGAGCCCUUCUUGCUUUCUGAAACCUAAUGGAUUGAGGAGCUACAAGAAGGAAUUCCCAUCUAAAUGCAAAUCAAGGCAACCCCAUCUUGAAUGCACCAGUAGUUACAAAUGGUCCGCUUCCAUGAAUGUGGGUCUUCUCCCUCUGCUUUGCCACAUCACUACAUCUUUGUGUGCCCAGCGGUCUUAACAGGAUUGGCGGGGCAUGAAAUAAAUAUUGAUUUACAGUGCUUUAUUUUGGCUACUAAAUAUCCACCUGUUGCAGCUGUUCUGUUAUCCUCAUCUUUGAUAAUAACUACAAUAUUAAUGUAACCUGCUAACUGAUCAGAAAGUUGAGUCAAAUCACACCUGCAAUUACACCUAUGAGUUUCUGUUUAGCUUAAGUGGGGUUGCUUGGUAUACUAACAAGCACUGUGGCCUGGUAUGGAUAACAGAAGCAGCCACCAUCAUCACUGUGUGGCAGCAGGUUCAGCGUCAGGAAGGAGGAAUCUUGAGAUGAAACAAAAGGCAUAUUACUACUCACUUUUUAUUUGAGUUCCCUUAAUGACAAAAUAGGGUUGGGUCUACAUGCAGACACUCAAGAAAGACAAAUCAGCUAUACAUAUGGAUAAUGCACCAGUUUCACACUUUUAGUUGAUUUGCUUUCUCUCUCCUGAGUAUUAUACACAAUGAUUGAUCUUACUCCUAAAGUCAAAAGGAAUUUUGCUACUGAUUUUUAUGGGGAAAAAGGACCUAUUCUUAUUACAGUCUCCUCUGAUCUAACUCUAGCAAUACCAAGCACUUAAAAUUCCACCAAGGGUGAAAUGUCUUUACAGCACUGUACCACUGAACAAACCACAACACUUCCAUUCUGGAUGAGAAAAUUUUGACAAGAGAAAUUUACCUUGGAUUUCAGUGACAGAAGAUAAAACACCUGAAAAAUCUCAUUCCAAAGGAAGUAAAAGGCUGUGGCAUAGAAAAGCACUCCUUAUGCCACCAAUGCACCCCGUAACAAAGGAAGCUGGACUGGGUUUCCAUAACCUCUAUUCACUCACUACAUAUUCAAUCCAGCUACCCUUGUGCAGCUCAGAUAAGAAAAAGCAGAAUUUAGAAUCAAGAAUUUCCUAGUUUUUCAAAUAGGAAUGUUCUGAAUAAGCCUAUUAAGUUAGAGUGUUUUGUGGACGGCAUUUAUUUAAACCUCUGAUUACACACAUAAAAUAACAGGUAGGAUUUUGAAUCAAUAUUAUCAGCAUGAAAGAAAUGAUUACCUAGACACCUUAACAACUUCUAGUUUUGCUGUCCUGUUCUUUUGAACCAGGCUGACCUGCAAUGAUUAUAUAUUUGGGAGGAAAGAGCUGGAAUUUAGCUUGUUAAGAAUAUUGACGUUACAAUAAAGCGCACAAUUCUGCAGAUG